GAAUGUGGGGACAGAAGACCCAGAUGGAGGCACAGAUAGAGGCAGGCUGAGGGGGACAAAGGGGGAGAAUCUCCAGGGGGCGGGGAAAAAAAAGAAAACAAAAGGAAAAAUGAGAAUGAAAAGUAAGAAAAAAAGAUGGAAAAAGAAAAAAAAAAAAUUGAAGUGCUGAAAACAGAGAAAAAAAGAGGCACAGAAGAGGAAAAAAAGUAAAAAGCAAUGCAUGUAUAUCAAGAGAAAGCAAGUAGGAAAGCUAACUGCAGCAGAGCAAAGGAAAGCAACCUUUCAGGAAUGUAGGAGUGUGGGAAGAGCAGAGCUCCUGGCACAGGAGCUGCGCGGCAGGAGAAGAAGCUGAGCCCAAAGGUAAGAGGAGCUCCUUGGGGUUUUUUUGUGGGCUUGAAGCAAAGCUGAGAAGCCGUGCCCGGCAGGAGGUGUGGGUAGCUCCAGGCCACCUUGCUGUCUCCCCAAGAGAAAGGCAAAGGGCGGAGGAGGUUGAAGGGGAGCUACUGGGCAUGGGCUGGCUCAGCAAGGGGAGCAGAAGCCUGAAGGGCACGAGAAGGGAAUAGAGAAGGGCAUGCAGAAGGAGAGAAGCU
ensembl:lncRNA